UUUGAGGUGGACGAGGAGGGUGAGGGCAUUGUCGACGCGCCGAAAGGAAGAGCGGGCAAUUACAGCACCAACGAUGACAAGUUACUAUGCUAUACUUAUUUGCAAGUGUCGAGGGAUCCAUCCAUUGGAGGUGAUCAAAGUACAGACGCGUAUUGGGGGCGAAUGAAAGAACACUUUGAUGCUCACAACCUGAGUGGAAUUGACCGCUCCGAGAGAUCACUUCGGUCCCGAUGGUCGACAAUCAACUCGGAUUGUCAAAAGUGGGCGGCCGCACAAAAGGCAGUUGACAAGAUUAACCCAAGUGGCACAAAUGAGGAUGAUCGAGUAAGUGGCAUCUCAUAUAUGUUCAUCAUACUUGUUUUUGGUGACCAAAGUGCUAACUUGUUUUGUUUUUCUUGUAGUACAACAUUGCACAAAACUUGUUCAAAGAAGAGACGAGGACAACCAAGAAGGGGAAGAUCAAGAAAGGCAGGAUCUUUA
rnacentral:rRNA from 1 species